GCGGGCUUUGUUUAAAAGUUUCAAAGGGUUAGAAGAAAAGAGAGCCGAUGGCACUGCCUUUUUUUUUUUUUUUUUUUUUUAAUUGAUGUAUUUGUUUCCGCACAAGUUGCGCGAUGGAGGAGCUCAGACUGUGAAAGUACCGGCUCCGCCGUGGGGUUUUAUGUACUGUCAGCCGCCCGGCUCGAGCCAUAAAAGGUAAACUUUCGGAAUACGCCCUACUGAUUGGUCAACGUCACGGAGGUCGGCGUGUCGAGCGUACUUUGCUGCACUGUUUGAUGCAACUUGCUCGCUCACGCGCCCACCCAACUUCCAGCUUAACACACAAGAGAGGAGGCCUAUCGCGCGGGUGCUCGCCCUUGCAUACGAAUUUUGAAGAGCCGUGUUAAUUCCAGCGUGUUUCGUUUCAAAGUAACACAGUGAGUGUGACAAAAAUGUCCUUAGCCCUAACCAGCCUGAUUGGCAUGGUACGAAAUUCUAAUUUAUUGUUUUGUUCUCUGUGACAUUGUCUAUUUUGGAAGGAAAUUUGGGAAAUGGUGGUUCCCCAAGAGGUGGGGCAACAUUACUGUCAAUGGACUCCUCUCAGCCCUAUAAAGGCUAAAGAAACGAGCAGUUCUUUGCAGUUCAUUAGAUGUGCUUGGUGGUUUUGUUAUAUAGAAAGAAUUCAUCAAUCCAUUGUCUGAACCUGUUUACCCAGAGUGCCUAUCCCAGAAAGCAUUGGGUGAAGGGCAGGAACAGUCCCUGGACUGGGUGCCAGCUCAUUGCAGGAUGUAAACACAUACACAAAAUCAGGGGCCAAUUCAACAUCAUCAAUCCAUCAAACCUGCCUGUCAUUUGGACUGUGGGAGGAACCUGGAUCACACAGUGGAGUAUUUUUCACAAACAGGUUGGGCUGUGGUAGACCUUUGUCAGAGACUGUUGAGAGCAGAGUGAGUUUAAAUGGCUGUGAGCCACUCUACCAGUAUCUCAGAAGUAGAACGCAUUCCCAUUACCUUAGAGAUUUCACGGUUACACUUCUCCUAGCCACCUGUGACACAUGUUAAUAAGUCGUUAUAUGUUCUUCAGUGUACUUGAGGGAAAGAAGAAUACUCCUCAAGGAAUUAAGAGUGUACUAUACAGUACUCCAGUAAAUAUCUCAACAUUAGGCUGUUUUCACCUUGAUGUUUUGUUCUAGAUGUAUUAUAGGGACACUAAAUAAAUUGGUAAAAAAGUGUCUUCACAUUGAAGUAAAUGUAACCUUUUAUUGAGUGCAGGUUACUUUAGGGCCACUGAUUCUCAGUAACUUGGGUAGAAGAAAAUUAAAAAUGAUUUUUUUAACUUUGCUUUUACUUUUACUCAUUAAACAUUUUGCAAGCUGCUAAAUUUGCUGUGCUGAAAUUAAAUAUCUGCAAAAACAAAAUUAAGUAAUGUGUUACAUCCAAUAAUCUAUCCUUUACUGAACCCUCGUAAUCUAGUUUAACAAUGUUCGCUGAGACCAGAGCCUGUUCCAACAACAUCAGAUGUUAAAGUAUGUAGGAGUUCUUACUAGACAGAGCUCCAGGGCAUCACAGGGCACAUUCACAUUGCCUCAAUCUGGUGCCAUGGUGAACAAGAAUGUCUUCAUUCAGCGGCCAUAAACCCAGUCCUUAGGACCCACUGUGGCUGCAGGUUUUUCUUUCAACCAACUUCUGUUUUUAAUUGGACUCCUAGCCUAAUUAAGUAAGUAAAGUUUACUUAUAUAGCACCUUUCACUGACAAUCACAAAGAGCUUCACAAGUUACAAACCAGUAAGUGAGCUGUUAUUUCCCAGUUUUUGUGUUGUAGAAAUUACAAAACUAAGUUUGAUAAAUUUUUAUUAAAAUAUACUAAGCAGUUAUAUGGGAAUAAUGUCAUUUUUUUUAACUUGUUAGCAAUAUUUUCAUUCUGUUUUUACAGGUGCUAUGGAUAUUUAAUCCAUUAUUUACACAUUAGCAUGUCUGAUGCCGAAGUA